rfam:Streptacidiphilus jiangxiensis strain CGMCC 4.1857 genome assembly, contig: Ga0104467_127
GGAGAGGUGGCCGAGUGGUAAGGCAGCGGCUUGCUAAGCCGUCGUCAGGGGCGACCCUGCGCGCGUUCGAUCCGCGCUCUCUCCG